CUUUUUAGAUUCUCCUCCUCUCUCUACUUGCCACGUGGCACCACCCUAACUCACUCCUUCAUUCUCUCUCUUCUCCCCGAACCCUCUCUCAACUCACUCACUCUCUCUCCCUCUCUCGGACAAACUCUCUCACUCUCCCCGAUUUACACACACGCACCCAUUCGCACACCCAUACCCACCGGCGACGAUCACACCUUCACCAACCUCGCGAGGCUUCUCUCUCUCUCUCUCUCUCUCUCUCUAUCACCUCUGUUAAGCACCAAGGGAAUUGGUGCAGAGCUUAGAGACUCUGGUGAGCCCCGUGGGUUUCGAGCAAAGAUCUGGCCACCUCCUGCCAUUUUAUGACGAAUCUCAGGACAUAGGAACGAGGCUUACAAUUCGAGCUACGAGGCAUUCCCCUACCAGUGAUAUCGUGCCUUCAUCUUUGCUUUGACAUCAUUGUAAUAGCACCUUCCGUUGUAUUCUGAAUUAUAUGUAUGCUCUGAACAUGUCAUGCACUAUCACUAUCUUUAUCAUUGUUGGCAGUUGAAUAUUAGUAUAUUAUUUUAUGUAGUUCGAACGAAAUUUAUACGCA